rnacentral:rRNA from 1 species
AGAUUCCUACGGGAGGCAGCAGUGAGGAAUAUUGGUCAAUGGUCGCAAGACUGAACCAGCCAUGCCGCGUGCAGGAUGAAUGUUCUAUGAAUUGUAAACUGCUUUUCUAAGGGAAGAAACCUAUCCUCGUGAGGGUAGUUGCCGGUACCUUGGGAAUAAGCAUCGGCUAACUCCGUGCCAGCAGCCGCGGUAAUA